rnacentral:lncRNA from 1 species
GAGACAGAUUCUCACAGGUGCCUGGAGCACUGGUUCUGGAAGCCAGUCGGGACAGAUGGAUGGGCUCUGUGGUGGAGACGGUGUCAGACCUUGAGACCGGAGAGGGGAGGCCACGGAGGCACGGAGCUUGCCAGUGCAGAGCCAAGGCUUGGACCCCAGAGCCUACACUUAAAAAAAAAAAAAGUUCUGGGCUUUGGGGGAGCUCAUAUGGGGAGUGCUUAACCCUGCCUGGGUAGAGGGUCAGGGAAGUCUUCCUGGAGGAGGGGGUUCCUGGUGGCAACUUCCUGGCCUCUGGUAUCGCUUGGUCAUUCAACCAGGAUUCACUGCGUUCACAUGGAUUCUGCGAUGGGACUCGGAGAACAAGACUGCGGGAAAUGAUCCCGAGGAAAUGGACAUUCCUGACUCUGGGUUCCAAGAGGACAAGAGGCGAAGGGGCAGCGAGGGUGUCCCCAGAGCCUCGCUCCGAGGAGAGAGAGAGAGACUUGCAGGCCUGGUGAGAUGGGGCCUGAAAUUUGGGCUGUUUUUCUUCAGGAAAGAUACCCACAGUACUGAGCCCUUAGGAAGGGCUGGGAGCCACCCUAAAAUGGUCCUGGGGGAGUGGCCUUCUCACCUGCAGUUUCCAAUGAGGAGGCUGAGGUUCCGAGAAGGGGAAGGGGCUACCCAGGGCGGCACAGUUGGUUGGGAGCUGAGCGGCUGCUGGGAUGGGGCUGGGAGGAGCAGAGGGGACCUCGGCGGAUCGAUGGCUGUGGUGGGACAGAGGAAGGAACAGAAGCUGGACGGCUUUUAGAGGCGCUGAGAGUCUGCAGAGAUGCUUCCCCCUUUGUCCCCAGGUGCUUGUAUAUUGUCGCCUCUGCUUCCAGACUCGGAGGAGAGCGUCUGGCCUCACGUCUCCGGGUUUCCACACCCUGAGAACCUCAGCUGCUCAGACACUCUGGGCUCUCCCGCCUCGUCAGACACUCAGGCCCUGUGGGGAGGUGCCUGCUGCCUCCUCUCUGCAGGGGAAGGUUGAGUCUGGGGUCAC